rnacentral:rRNA from 1 species
CGGGGGCUCCGGGUGGACACUUCAAACUCUUGCGUAACUUUGCAGUCUGAGUAAACUUAAUUAAUAAAUUAAAACUUUUAACAACGGAUCUCUUGGUUCUGGCAUCGAUGAAGAACGCAGCGAAAUGCGAUAAGUAAUGUGAAUUGCAGAAUUCAGUGAAUCAUCGAAUCUUUGUACGCACAUUGCGCCCCCUGGUAUUCCGGGGGGCAUGCCUGUUCGAGCGUCAUUUCACCACUCAAGCCUCGCUUGGUAUUGGGCAACGCGGUCCGCCGCGUGCCUCAAAUCGUCCGGCUGGGUCUUCUGUCCCCUAAGCGUUGUGGAAACUAUUCGCUAAAGGGUGUUCGGGAGGCUACGCCGUAAAACAACCCCAUUUCUAAGGUUGACCUCGGAUCAGGUA